GCCACGGUGGAUGUGUCACCCAACGUCUCGGUCUUUUAAGUAAACUACACCUGACAACACCGUGUUAUCCCGAGCUCCUUCAGUUUCCUGGAAACUCCCAGGAUGUUUCAGAAGGCAGAGUUCAGCUGUAACUUGGAUGGUGUUUACUUUAUCUCUCUAACACUAGGAGAGCGAACGCUCUGCCCGUCACCGUCCCUGCUGUGUCCUGAGUGCUAGAAGCCAGCCAGGAACCACACCUAGAACACUCCAAAGGUACUAUUUUAACGCUGUUUCACAAGUCAAGAAACCAAGAUCAGCUACAGAGCUUGAGGGACUCAGAGCAAAAUGAAGACGACAAAUGGAAAUUAUGAGGAAUAUCAAGAUGAUGACAGCAGAGCAUUGCACCAGGCGCAAUCACAUAGGACCCAUGAAACGGGCCCUGGAGGAAACCAAGGGCCAGAGAAGUUAAGUUACUUUCCCAAGGUCACACAGCAAGUUUUGGAGCCUCUAAAAAUCCUUUAUUUAUUGUAAACUCCCUGCAGGCAGGGGCUUUGAGGUCACUGGUGGCAUGUUCUGGUCCCGGGUCCUCAGGUCUCCAUGAGUUUGAUGGCCAAGUCCCCUCUCUGAUUGUUUCUGAACGCAAGAAAACGAGAACCAAAUUAUAAAUGGAUAAGCUAAACACGAGUUUUAUUUACCGCUAUGGCAUUCAGUGCUGCAAAAGAGUUUAAGGAGCUAACCUAUUUUUUGUUUCUAUGAAAGAGACUUCAUUUUUUCUGUGAGAUUCUUUGCUGGUGAUGGGAAGAAAGGAGAGAUAAAAUCUCAGGGGCACAUCAAUGCAUUAAUCAUGGUCCUAAUCUCAUGACCUGUUAUUAUUAUUAUUAUGCCCUUUUAGUUUAACUAUUCUUUGUUUAUUUUCAGUGCAGUAACGAUUACCCCUGAACUCACCCAAGAACUAGCUUAUUGCUGAUAAUUCAUAUCUCCUCUGGGCUCCUUACCCAUAUCACUUUCCCAUCUCAGAUGUGAUCACUGUCCCGAAUGUCACAUGUCCUGGUUGCUAGUUUUCAGAUGUGUUACAUUUGCAUGCCUGGCUAAAUAAUGUAUUGUUUGCUUAAAAGCAAAUUCAUAGAAAGGGUAUUUUGAAAUUCAUAGAAAGGGUAUUUUAUGCCGUCUUCUGAGACUUGCUUUUUUGACUCAAGAAUAGCUGAAAAGAGUCCAUUGCCGUGUCAUUACAUAGACUGGUAUUUUAUUUAUUUUCACUAGUAUAGAACAUUCCAUUAUCUGGACAGACUAUAAUGUAGUUAUCCAUUGCCCUCUCAUGGGCAUUCAGGUUGUUUCAGAUUUUUGCUAUUAAAAAGAGAGCUUC